CAUAUCAAUAAGCGCAGGAAAAGAAAAUAACCAUGAUUCCCUCAGUAACGGCGAGUGAAGCGGGAAAAGCUCAAAUUUGAAAUCUGGCAACAUUUCUUUUGUUGUCCGAGUUGUAAUUUCAAGAAGCUGCUUUGAGUGUAGACGAUCGGUCUAAGUUCCUUGGAACAGGACGUCAGAGAGGGUGAGAACCCCGUCUUUGGUCGAUUGGAUAUGCCAUAUAAAGCGCUUUCGAAGAGUCGAGUUGUUUGGGAAUGCAGCUCUAAAUGGGUGGUAAAUUUCAUCUAAAGCUAAAUAUUGGCGAGAGACCGAUAGCGAACAAGUAGAGUGAUCGAAAGAUGAAAAGAACUUUGAAAAGAGAGUUAAAUAGUACGUGAAAUUGCUGAAAGGGAAGCAUUGGAAAUCAGUCUUACCUGGGUGAGAUCAGUAGUCUCUUCGCGAGACUAUGCACUCUGAACCUGUGGUAGGUCAGCAUCAGUUUUCGGGGGCGGAAAAAGAAUAAGGGAAGGUGGCUUUCCGGGUUCUGCCUGGGGAGUGUUUAUAGCCCUUGUUGUAAUACGUCCACUGGGGACUGAGGACUGCGGCUUCGUGCCAAGGAUGCUGACAUAAUGGUUUUCAAUGGC
rnacentral:rRNA from 1 species